CAAUCACACCCGUCGAUACCACGGCAUCAGGCGAUGCAUUCAAUGGAGCGUUGGCGGUUGCUUUGGCUCGAGGCGAGGACAUUUCGCAAGCGGUCAAAUACGCCAAUGCAGCGGGUGCGAUCACAGCCACCCGGCGCGGAGCCCAGCCUUCGCUACCCACCCGUAAGGAACUGGAUCAAUUCAUGGUUUCAUCAGCGCCCGGAUCAAACCCGGCGAUUCCGGAUGCUGUUGACUCGUUCGAUCAGGCAGGAACGCCAUCGUAAUG
rnacentral:misc_RNA from 1 species